rnacentral:lncRNA from 1 species
AGGAAGCCUGACCUUGAGAGAUUUCCAGUCCAAUUUCUGUAGACUCUGAAGGAUCAGAUAACCCCAGGUUAAGCAAUUAGAGGCUUACCCAGAUGGAGACUCUGAACUGUGCAACUCUUCAUUCAUCUGCAUUUUCCUCUCCUUGGCAUUAUGUCUCAGUUGGGUGGAUUAACUGAAUUCAUUAAAAAAAAAUGUAGCUAUAAUAAUGGAGAGAAUAACGUUCUUCAUACUAAUUCCCGAACUGCAAAUUCAGACUCAAAAUAUUUCUGAGAAUUCCACAAAUUAACCGUAUUGGAGCUGGAUUACCCUCACGGACUAAGCUAUUGGCCACCACUGCCUGGACAUGACCUUGAUCCAUAAAGCUUCGAGAAUGGCAUUUUCACUAGGUGUUGCCAUGCCAGAGACUCAUAAACUCCAAACGGUAUGGAAUGAGAAACAUUCAAAACAUAGAGACCCAGCCGAGGAAAUCAAAUACAUGUGGCAGCAGGCAUCUCAUCCGAAGGCAUCCCCUCCCUCUAGUCGCCUACUGAACUCAUCCCGAAGGUGGCUUCAGUGAGUCUGCGGAAGAGGGGCUGACAUCCCAGUGCUCUUAUUCAGGUCCCAAAAGAAGACAUUUUAUCCGUCAACUACAAAAGGAUAGCACACUCAUGAUAACUAGCAUUUAUAUAGGGCUUUAAGGUUAGUAACUCAUUUGAGCCUCACAGCAAUCCUGGGAGACAGAUGCGAUUAUUAUCCCCCUUUUGCAGAUGAGGAAAUGGAAGAAAGAGGAAGUGACUUGCCCAAAGUUACCUCACAAAGGACAAAGAGAAGAGUUAAGCUGGGUAAGACUGGUUGUAUCCGAGAAGCACAGCUGAGAUGUUCUUGGUUUUCAAAGGGUCUUCCCUUGUCUUUGUGUUUGGGUACUCUGCAAGUGCAGCCAGAUGCACACACGUUUCGUGCUAUCAGCUCCAGAUGUCGAUGGAGAAUCCAUCAAGUUAAGCCCAACGAAGUCCCACCUGUCAAGCCAGGAGCUGGUUAGCAGCAGCAUUCUUCCUCGAGGAGCGCAAACCAGGGAAUAUCCAUUUUCCUUGCUGACACCCUGAGGUUGUAAGGCAGCCCGAGUGCUCGGGCCGUUUACAUGAAGCCCAUCCUAAUUGCAUAGCACUGCUCCGUAAAAAGAAGAUUAGGCCUCAUUAUCCAGGAACGCAUUUGGCAUUUUUCUCCUCUGACUGAAACUGUUUAAAGUGCUGGACACUAUCUCUCUCCCUGUCUAUACAUCAAUUCCUCUGCUGUCAAAAUGCCCCAGCCACAUCCUGCCUUUUCUCAGGGUUGAAAAUGUUCAAAUUGGGUCAACUAAGAGGGGAAAAAAUGUUAUCAUUUCACCAGUUCCCCCCCCCACCUUAGGAAAGGUUCCCCAGCUUUUCUGUCUUUGCUUUUCUUAUUCUGAGUUAUAGUAAAACCUCUGCUAACGAGAUGGUAUGGUUCUGGGUAAUUUGAUUUCUUGUCUUUUGUCUACCUCAAGGCCAAGAGGAAAAAUCCUUUUAGCCCUACUUCAAAAUCUUUCUAAAAUAUGUUUGGCU